rnacentral:rRNA from 1 species
UGAACGCUGGCGGCAGGCCUAACACAUGCAAGUCGAACGGUAACAGGAAGCAGCUUGCUGCUUUGCUGACGAGUGGCGGACGGGUGAGUAAUGUCUGGGAAACUGCCUGAUGGAGGGGGAUAACUACUGGAAACGGUGGCUAAUACCGCAUAACGUCGCAAGACCAAAGAGGGGGACCUUCGGGCCUCUUGCCAUCAGAUGUGCCCAGAUGGGAUUAGCUUGUUGGUGAGGUAACGGCUCACCAAGGCGACGAUCCCUAGCUGGUCUGAGAGGAUGACCAGCCACACUGGAACUGAGACACGGUCCAGACUCCUACGGGAGGCAGCAGUGGGGAAUAUUGCACAAUGGGCGCAAGCCUGAUGCAGCCAUGCCGCGUGUAUGAAGAAGGCCUUCGGGUUGUAAAGUACUUUCAGCGGGGAGGAAGGUGUUGUGGUUAAUAACCGCAGCAAUUGACGUUACCCGCAGAAGAAGCACCGGCUAACUCCGU